rnacentral:rRNA from 1 species
CCUACGGGUGGCAGCAGUGGGGAAUCUUCCGCAAUGGACGAAAGUCUGACGGAGCAACGCCGCGUGAACGAUGACGGCCUUCGGGUUGUAAAGUUCUGUUAUACGGGACGAAUGGUACGACGGCCAAUACCCGUCGUAAGUGACGGUACCGUAAGAGAAAGCCACGGCUAACUACGUGCCAGCAGCCGCGGUAAUACGUAGGUGGCAAGCGUUGUCCGGAAUUAUUGGGCGUAAAGGGCGCGCAGGCGGCGUCGUAAGUCGGUCUUAAAAGUGCGGGGCUUAACCCCGUGAGGGGACCGAAACUGCGAUGCUAGAGUAUCGGAGAGGAAAGCGGAAUUCCUAGUGUAGCGGUGAAAUGCGUAGAUAUUAGGAGGAACACCAGUGGCGAAAGCGGCUUUCUGGACGACAACUGACGCUGAGGCGCGAAAGCCAGGGGAGCAAACGGGAUUAGAUACCCCAGUAGUC